rnacentral:rRNA from 1 species
GACGAACGCUGGCGGCGUGCUUAACACAUGCAAGUCGAACGAAGAGCGAUGGAAGCUUGCUUCUAUCAAUCUUAGUGGCGAACGGGUGAGUAACGCGUAAUCAACCUGCCCUUCAGAGGGGGACAACAGUUGGAAACGACUGCUAAUACCGCAUACGAUCUAAUCUCGGCAUCGAGGAUAGAUGAAAGGUGGCCUCUACAUGUAAGCUAUCACUGAAGGAGUGUAUUGCGUCUGAUUAGCUAGUUGGAGGGGUAACGGCCCACCAAGGCGAUGAUCAGUAGCCGGUCUGAGAGGAUGAACGGCCACAUUGGGACUGAGACACGGCCCAGACUCCUACGGGAGGCAGCAGUGGGGAAUCUUCCGCAAUGGACGAAAGUCUGACGGAGCAACGCCGCGUGAGCGAUGACGGCCUUCGGGUUGUAAAGCUCUGUUAAUCGGGACGAAAGGCCUUCUUGCGAAUAGUGAGAAGGAUUGACGGUACCGGAAUAGAAAGCCACGGCUAACUACGUG